GGAUGCGAUGCAUACCAGUAGUAUCAGUAACUCCGGUGAGUGGGAGUCCUGCGUGUUGGGCGAGAGUAGUACUAGGAUGGGUGACCCCUGGGAAGUCCUCGUGUUGCAUCCC
rnacentral:rRNA from 1 species